rnacentral:lncRNA from 1 species
CUUUUACACAGAAUACUACUAUAAUGAAGUAUAGUAAAGUUAUUCGUUGAUCAAACAAAUAACAUACAUUCUUAAGAGAAAUGUGAGAUAAUACUUGGUCACUGUCAUCAUUUUUAAAAAUGACAAUGAACCCUGCCAAAGCCAGGGACGAACUCCGAUGCUAUUUGGUAGGUAGGUUAUUGCCACUGUAUUAGUGGACCCGCGAC